UGCAACACUAGAAAGAUGGUGGAGCAAGAGCAAAGAAAAAUCCCUUUGGUUCCAGAAAAUCUCCUGAAAAAUAGGAAGUCUUAUCAAGCCCUCAAAGCUGCCCUGGCAAAGCAGGCAUUUUUGGCAAAGAAGAAGCAGAGAAAAGGAAAAGGGCUGAGGUUUGAGUGACUGGAAUCAUUUCUGCUUGAUUCCUGGUGGCAGAAACGUGACAAGGUACGUCUCAGAUGACUAGAAGUGAAACCUCAUGCCUUGGAAUUGCCAGAUAAACAUUCCUUGGCCUUUGUUGUGUGCAUCAAAAGGAUUGAUGGCGUGGGUUUACUGAUGCAGAGAAUCAUUGCAAGACUCCACUGGAAGAAAACUUUCAGUGGUGUCUUUGGAAAAGUCAUCCACAGAACCUAAAAAUGCUGUGUAUAGUGGAACCUUACGUGACCUGGGGGUUUCCAAGUCUGAAAUCUGUCUGGGAGCUCAUUCUGAAACAUGGACAAGCCAACGUCCAGAAUGAGACCAUUUUUCUGACAGACAGCAGGGUGAUCAAGGAGCACCUGGGGAAGUUUGGUGUCAUUUGCUUGGAAGACCUCAUUCAUGGAAUUGCCUUCCCAGGGAAGCGUUUCCAGGAGAUCUCGUGGUGGUUGUGCCUUUUCUACCUCUCAGUGGCCCAUCAUGCUACCAAAAAUAGAGCGGGCUUCCUCUAGAAGAUGGGCACACCUCGCUGUCUGGGCGAACGCAUCAAUCAGCUCAUCUUCCAGCUGAAGUAGACCCAGGUGCCAAAGUGCAGCAGAUUUUUAUCAAUGAAGUGGAAGGAUGUGUUUUUGUUUUUGGGGGGAAUUUUUAUCAAGUAUCUUCAGAGAAGAUUAUUUCCUGCUUUAUCUUCAAAAACUGGAAAGGAAGGAUCAAAGAAAAGAUAGUAGCUUAUGUUCAUGGCAAGGACCUCUCAUCACAGUCCAGCGUUUUCUACAUUGGCUGCCGCCUCGUCUGAAAUCAGCAUAUUCCAUGGAGGAGAGAGUUGUGCUGAGUUGCAUCUUCUAUCCUGAGGUUUAAUGUUGGCAAAUGAGUAACUCUAGCAUUUGUACAAGGCUCCCUAAGACUCCUGCAGUGAUCGGCCAAGCCCAGGGACAUAAUUGAAUCUGGAGAUUUCUGGGGCCUUGUUUUGAAAAAGACUUGAAAUACACAUAGGAAGAAAGGCCUCAAAAUAAAUGUUCACUUGUCUCU